UAUGUAGGGGGCAAGCGUUAUCCGGAUUUACUGGGUGUAAAGGGAGCGUAGACGGCACUGCAAGUCUGGAGUGAAAGCCCGAGGCCCAACCACGGGACUGCUCUGGAAACUGCGGGGCUGGAGUGCAGGAGGGGUAAGCGGAAUUCCUAGUGUAGCGGUGAAAUGCGUAGAUAUUAGGAGGAACACCGGUGGCGAAGGCGGCUUACUGGACUGUAACUGACGUUGAGGCUCGAAGGCGUGGGGAGCAAACAGG
rnacentral:rRNA from 1 species